GCUCUUAUAGUCUAGAGGUCUAGGACAUCUUCCUUUCACGAAGAAGAACAGGAAUUCGAAUUUCCUUAAGAGCA
rnacentral:tRNA from 1 species